GACGAACCGUGCGAACGUUGUUCGGAAUCACUGGGCUUAAAGGGCGCGUAGGCGGACCUGCAAGUCAGGGGUGAAAGCCCCCGGCCCAACCGGGGAAGUGCCUCUGAUACUGUGGGUCUCGAGCGGGAUAGGGGCAGCUGGAACUUCCGGUGGAGCGGUGAAAUGCGUAGAUAUCGGAAGGAACGCCGGUGGCGAAAGCGCGCUGCUGGACCUCUUCUGACGCUGAGGCGCGAAAGCCAGGGGAGCAAAGCGGG
rnacentral:rRNA from 1 species